UUGUUACCGCCUCUCUUAAAUUCCGUUUUAAAAAUGUACAUGAAGUGGAAUAAUUCUCCAGAACUUUAUUAUAGCAAAUUGCUUUUAAAUGCUAACGUAAAAUACUUUUAAAUAUAAAACCUAUGACAAUCUUAGCACCUUUUAAAGUCAUAGACGUAUAAGUCCCAAUCAAGUAAUCCUUGGAAAUCGUAGUGUCAAACUCAAUGUGCUACAAACGACUCCCAUAUUAUCAUUCUCAUUUGAAGAUUUGUAGCAUAAACAUCUAAAUUCGUUGUUUUGUCUCGAUUUGUUAUUUGUCCGGUUCAAUCUCAACAAGAAAUCAUCAUGUGUUGUGGACCUUGUGGACCGUGCUAUGGACCCUGCGGCAGUCGCUGCUGUGGUCCUUGUGGACCGUGCUUCGUACCUUGCAAUCCCUGCUGUUCACCUUGCUGCACUCCCUGCUGCUCACCUUGCUGCAGUCCCUGCUGCAGUCCUUGCUGUGGUGGCGGCUGCUGGUGCUAAUGAAGCCCGGAGCUUGGAAUUAAACGCCCUAACGAAGUCCAUUCCACUCAAGACAUGACCAAUCACCAUUCCUAGACUGAACCGCAAAUAAUAAUUCAAGGCAUUACAACAGUAAAAAAUGAAA